rnacentral:rRNA from 1 species
GACAGAGGGGGCAAGCGUUGCUCGGAAUCACUGGGCGUAAAGGGCGCGUAGGCGGGAUGGCAAGUCAGUCGUGAAAUCUCUCGGCUCAACCGAGAAACGUCGGCUGAUACUGCCGUUCUUGAGGGAUGCAGAGGAGACUGGAAUUCCCGGUGUAGCGGUGAAAUUCGUAGAUAUCAGGUGGAACACCAGUGGCGAAGGCGGCUUUCUGGACGAUAACUGACGCUGAGACGCGAAAGCGUGGGGAGCAAACAGG